rnacentral:tRNA from 1 species
GCCGCGGUGGUGGAAUUGGUAGACACGAGGGACUCAAAAUCCCUUGCUGGCAACAGCGUGCGGGUUCGAUUCCCGCCUGCGGCA